rnacentral:lncRNA from 1 species
GCUGGCUCAUAAACAGCUGCCUCAUUCUUUUUCACAGCACAUAGUAUUCCAGAGUACGGAUGUACCAUGGCAUUUUUUAGACUAGUUUCCUAUGAUGGACAUCUAGGUGGGUUCUAACCUUCAGUAUUUCAAAUGAUGCUGCUGAAAACUCUCUUAAGCAUUUAUCCUUGUAUUUCUCAGUAGGAUAAGUUCCUAGAUGUGCGAUUGUUAGGUCAAAAGGUAUGCUCAUUUAAAAUUCUGAUCAUAUUUCCAAGUUGUUCUCCAAACUGGCAGACCCGGCCAGUUCUCUCUCCCUGACAACAGUGGAUAAACACUGCUGUUUCCCCAUCUGCUCCAACACCAUGCAGUAUCAGACUUUUUGAUCUUGGUCAAUAAGGAUCGGUAUUUCUGUGUUCAGUCGGCAUUUCUCUAAUAUGCUUCUGAUUCUUGGAACCAGGCUCGGUGACCUCACGCGAGUGACUUCAUAUCCGGGACUUUCUGGGAAUUCUCAGCAGCACUUUUUCGCCGCCACCUCCAACCAAUCGGACUGGCUCUUCUGUCAUUCGGGUCACCUCCGCUGAGAUGCCUUCCCUGACCACCCAAGUUGAAGGAACUGCUAACCUUUUCUCUUGGACUUUGUUUUUUAUUUCCUUCACAGUAUUUCUCCCCUCUAAAAUUAUCUUGUCUGCUUCUACCUAUAUUGCCUUCCCUCUUGAAACCUAAGUUCCAUAAACUGAGGCACAAAUUCUGCCUUGUUCAUCUCUGUUCUCAGCACUCUGAACAGAACCUGGCAUGAAUGAGGUGCUCAAUAAAAGUUACUUGGAUGAAUC